CUUGUACUUUAAACGGUGUUUACUAUAAAUUUUAAAUUUUGUUACUUAAUUAAGUUUUAGGUAGAAUUAGAACUUGAAUAUUGAAGAGUGUUUAUAGUUUUAAGAUUUGAAGAGCAAGCUAGAUUAGAACCUAGUUAGACAAAAAUAAAAAGAGCAGAAGUAGAGUGGUAUUUAAACUGUAAGGAUAUUGGCAGGUAUUCUAAAUUAUCUUUGGAGGCUGAGUAAUAAAUGAGAACCCCCAUUAGCUGCUUAAACUUUUUUCGCGUGUAUGAUCGUUUAUUUUAAUCUUAAAGAUAUUAAUUUUAGAUUGUGUUUUCUUUAAAAACAGAUAAAUACCCGGUUUAUGUUUUAAGUAAGAUUUGGCCUACAAUAUUAUAAGAUGUGGAUAACAACUUUGGCAUGUUGUUUGAAAAUGGAAAAGACAGUAAAAAAUUCUUAAUGUGUUUUUGAAGAAUAUUUAGAUAC
rnacentral:rRNA from 1 species